rnacentral:rRNA from 1 species
CAGGACGAACGCUGGCGGCGUGCCUAAUACAUGCAAGUCGAACGAACGGAGGAAGAGCUUGCUCUUCCAAAGUUAGUGGCGGACGGGUGAGUAACACGUGGGCAACCUGCCUGUAAGUUGGGGAUAACUCCGGGAAACCGGGGCUAAUACCGAAUGAUAAAGUGUGGCGCAUGCCACGCUUUUGAAAGAUGGUUUCGGCUAUCGCUUACAGAUGGGCCCGCGGUGCAUUAGCUAGUUGGUAGGGUAAUGGCCUACCAAGGCAACGAUGCAUAGCCGACCUGAGAGGGUGAUCGGCCACACUGGGACUGAGA